rnacentral:antisense_RNA from 1 species
GGCUCCGAGGCCCGGGGAGCGCCGGUUUCUUGAAGGUCCUCCGUCCUGGAGCAGUAAGAUCCUUGACGUAACUAGAAAUGGCGGGACGGAGUCUCGCUCUGUCACCCAGGCUGGAAUGCAGUAGCGCAAUCUUAGUCCACUGUAACCUCUGCCUGCUGGGUCCAAGCCAUUCUCCUGCCUCAGCCUCCCGAGUAGGCAAAUGAAUAAAAGAACAUCUUUUAUUUACCCGUAUCUGCAACAUUCCUCAUAGUAUGUUUGAAGGCCCAAAUGAUGGAAUCCAAAACAAGUUUAAACUGUGUAGGUGGAAUAGCAAGGAAUGCUGGGAAACAAUGAGAAUUGACAGCCUGAAGUAGUAAGAAAAAGUUUGUUCUGUGUUCAGGAUAUUCUUCAAAGUCCUAAAAAUAAGUGGUGGAAACAAAA